UACGUAGGUGGCAAGCGUUGUCCGGAAUUACUGGGCGUAAAGGGCGCGUAGGCGGAUAGUUCAGUUGGGGGUGAAAGCCCGGGGCUCAACCUCGGAACUGCCUUCAAUACUGGCUAUCUUGAGUACGGGAGAGGUGUGUGGAACUCCGAGUGUAGAGGUGAAAUUCGUAGAUAUUCGGAAGAACACCAGUGGCGAAGGCGACACACUGGCCCGUUACUGACGCUGAGGCGCGAAAGCGUGGGGAGCAAACAGG
rnacentral:rRNA from 1 species